GGGGGUGCGGGGCGCGGUCCGGGCCGUGGGGCGGCGGGGCGGCGGGGCGGCGGCGGCCUGCGCGGCGGCGGGCGUCCCGGGCGGGCCCCGGGUGCGGUGACAUCACCGCCCGCCUCCCCGCCCGGUGCUGCCUCCGCGAGGCGCGUCGGUUGGGCCGUUUGCCCGCGUCCGCCGCCGCCAGGGCUCGUCCGGCCGGGCUCGGAGCCGGCAGCGCGGAGCGACGGGACCCGGAGGAGGAGCGAGGCGCGGGCGGGCGGCGCGGGCGGGAGCCCCCGGCGGCGGCAUGAGGCUCAGCCCGGCGCACUACCUGCUGCCGCUGCUGCCGGCGCUGGUGCUCGGCGCCAGGACUAUGAAG
rnacentral:lncRNA from 1 species